rnacentral:lncRNA from 1 species
UUCACGCAAGUUUCAAGUAUAUGCUCGUUUGAUGUGAAAAUCAGACGAUAUUAAUAUUAAUUCAUAUGAGUGAAAUUCCUUGUGCAGGAUGAAAUAAAAUUAUAUUUGAUUCAGUAGAAUUUUAUAUUGCAUUACUAGGAACUUUACGACAGUCGACAGGGGAAAUGAAAAUAAAAUAUACUCAUUCAGAUCCCGCCAUUUCUCUGAGAAGGAAUAACGUUAUAUUCCGUACACCAUAACGUCACACGUUUUUGGUCAAGUUCUAGGCCUAUCGAUCAACUUUGAAGCCAUUUAUUUCAAAAACAAGGAUGGUGACAUAUGAGUUUCUAUACGUGUAUGGAUUCACUAUGCAAUCCUGGAUAUUAUGUUAGUUUUUUGUUUUUCUCCGUAUAUAAGAAAAUAGC